AAGCGACGUUCGUUUGGGAUGCGGCGGCUGUCUAUGCCCCAGCCACCGUGCAGGUUCGAAACCUGCCGUCGCUUU
rnacentral:tRNA from 1 species